GUCACUACGUCACGUGACCUAACGCGGCAAACAUAAAAUCCGGCAGUGGGCUGCUCCCGAGAGGAACACGCUGGGCGAGGUUGCUGCGGAUAUGUGACUCGGUUUUGACGCUUUAAUUAUUAACUAAGCCUUCUAACUGAAAUGUAGUUAUGUCGAACUGUAGGAGCCGACUACCGGAGAUGUGGGUCGUCCUGCGGGAGUGUUUGAGUGGGAUUUAUCUGCGGAAUUGGCCAGGUUGGAUAACGAGCUAGAGCCGGAACUACAGUCUGAAGCUUUAUGCCCGGAACCGAACCAACUGAACUGAAUCCACCCAACCGACCCCCGGGCGGUCCUCCUGAACAUUCACUUUCCCCCCAUCCGUUCGCUAAAACCCCUCCGGACACUGCCACCACAACCUGCACUUUGCGGGCCUGUUUAAAGAACUCUGAACUCGUGUCGCACUUAUACCUUCGUUGGUAGAAACAAGGACUGAAUAAAGUACUGGACCACAUUGUAAAUAUUGAACGUUCUAUGAAUUUGUUGAAUAUCCGAAUGGCCAUUCGAAUUUAUGUGUCAAUUGUUUAUUUUUCCUAUUAUUUUUUAAUAUAAUUUGGUACUACUUAAACUCAAAUCCUGUGUUCAGUCUCCAUUACUCUCCAUUCCUAGAGCUGAAUAUAGUUUCUUCUGAUCUAGCCCAGUCAUAUCAUUACGGUUUACUUAGUACUUGUACAGUGCUUUACUAAAUAAAUGAUAAAUGGGUUGUACUUGUAUAGCGCUUUUCUACCUUCAAGGUACUCAAAGCGCUUUGACACUACUUACACAUUUACCCAUUCACACACACAUUCACACACUGAUGGAGGGAGCUGCCAUGCAAGGCGCCAACCAGCACACAUCAGGAGCAAGGGUGAAGUGUCUUGCUCAGGACACAACGGACGUGACGAGGUUGGUACUAG